GAGUGAUGAAACUUGAACUGAAACAGCUGGAAUUACCGGCAGAUUUCACCGUGGUGAGAAAAGGUUUUCUGAAU
ensembl:snoRNA